rnacentral:rRNA from 1 species
GAGCGAACAGACAAGGAGCUUGCUCCUUUGACGUUAGCGGCGGACGGGUGAGUAACACGUGGGUAACCUACCUAUAAGACUGGGAUAACUUCGGGAAACCGGAGCUAAUACUGGAUAAUAUUUCGAACCGCAUGGUUCGAUAGUGAAAGAUGGUUUUGCUAUCACUUAUAGAUGGACCCGCGCCGUAUUAGCUAGUUGGUAAGGUAACGGCUUACCAAGGCGA